UAGAAAACCUCUCAUCCAUCUAAGUCUUUAGUACCGGUUCCCUUACGAACCGGUACUAAAGGCGGCAUUAAUACCGGUUCCGUGCGUGGGACAUCAAUACCGGUUCGUUAUGGACCUUUAAUACCGGUUGGUAACACGAACCGGUAUUAAAGGGUUUGAGCCCAGAUUCCAGGCGGUGGUGGGGCCAGGGUUUCACCUUUAGUACCGGUUCGGGUAAGGAACCGGUACUAAAGGGUCUGUGCCCUAUAUGAACACGCAGCCGCGCGCCCGACCCCCUGCACAUCUCAUUCUCCUUCUCCUCCUCUCACAUUUCCAAAUAUUUUGCACCUCUCACACUCCAAUAAUCUUCAUUUUUCUCCACCAUUUUAACAAGAUUAACGGCAUACAUCUAUCCAAGGGUUAGCAAUAUCAUCCUUCCUUCCGGCGUUCCUAAUUUAGCUCAGUUCUUUGGUAGUUUUAACUCGUACUAUUUUUGUAGUGCAAUCAAGGUGUUCGAUGAAAUGCCUAAGUUAGUGAUUUUAUUUUUUUAUAUGCAAUUUGAGCUGAAAUUAUGGUAUGUUUUGUAGGUUUUAAUUAGUAUCAUCCCCGUCCUCACCGCCGUCGAUCGCUAGCGUCGUCCCCUAGCCGGCACGGUACCACCUCGAUGAGUCGACAAUGGAUGUACGGUGACCGGUGCCAUCCCGAGUUCAUUACUGGCAUGCAUUAUUUUCUCAACGUGGCUGAGGCAAACAGGCAGUCGAAUGGUUUCAUGUAUUGUCCAUGUAGUUCCUGUAAGAAUAUGAAGGAUUACUCUA